UGACCCCUACGGGGGGCAGCAGUGAGGAAUAUUGGUCAAUGGUCGGGAGACUGAACCAGCCAAGCCGCGUGAGGGAGGAAGGUACAGAGUAUCGUAAACCUCUUUUAUCAGGGAACAAAGGCGGGGACGUGUCCCCGGAUGAGUGUACCUGAAGAAAAAGCAUCAGCUAACUCCGUGCCAGCAGCCGCGGUAAUACGGAGGAUGCGAGCGUUAUCCGGAUUUAUUGGGUUUAAAGGGUGCGCAGGCGGUCUGUUAAGUCAGCGAUCAAAGCCCGGGGCUCAACCCCGGCCC
rnacentral:rRNA from 1 species